AUGACUUUGAUCUGCGUCCUCAUCUGGACUCUCCUCUGCUGCUGCUUCACAGAGUCCAGAGGACAGAUCACAGUGACUCAGCCUGGAGCAGUGAGCUCUGCUGUGGGAGGAUCUGUGAGGAUCGAGUGUAGGACCAGUCAGAAUGUUUAUGUUUCUGGCAGCACCCACUAUUUAGCCUGGUACCAACAGAAAGAUGGAGGAGUUCCUAAACUGCUCAUUUAUCGUGCUAGCACUCGAUAUUCAGGGAUUCCAGCUCGUUUUACAGGCAGUGGAUCAAACUCUGACUUCACUCUGACCAUCAGUGGAGUCCAGGCUGAAGAUGCAGCAGUUUAUUACUGUCAGAGUUAUCACUACAUCAACAGUCAGCGUGUGUUCACACAGUGA